GGCCGACUAGCUCAGUUGGUUAGAGCGUCGUGCUAAUACGAUUCGUUCGUAAGAAUGUGGUUGGCAGCUUCACACUCUUACCGACGUACUCGAUACGCGAAGGUCUUGGGUUCGAUCCCCACGUUGGCCA